AAUUAUUAACCUUUCCUUUUCUUCAGGGUAUUCUCGAGCGCUUGGAUGCUGGAGAGAUUGUGAUUGGAGAUGGGGGAUUUGUCUUUGCCCUCGAAAAGAGGGGAUAUGUAAAAGCUGGACCUUGGACUCCGGAAGCAACGGUAGAACACCCAGAAGCAGUUCGUCAGCUUCACAGGGAAUUCCUCAGAGCUGGAUCCAAUGUUCUUCAAACAUUCACCUUCUAUGCCAGUGAGGACAAAUUGGAGAA